rnacentral:rRNA from 1 species
CGUGAUAGGGGACACCGAGUGCCAGCAUCAUAUGCUGGCUGUCCGGGUGUGUAAAAUACACCUGUUAGCAAGGGCCGGGCAAGACCGGUGCCAGCCGCCGCGGUAACACCGGCGGCCCGAGUGGUGAUCGUGAUUAUUGGGUCUAAAGGGUCCGUAGCCGGUUUGGUCAGUCCUCCGGGAAAUCUGAUGGCUCAACCAUUAGGCUUUCGGGGGAUACUGCCAGGCUUGGAACCGGGAGAGGUAAGAGGUACUACAGGGGUAGGA